rnacentral:other from 1 species
AGUUCCCUGGGAUGUUUGAUAUUAACUAUGUCCCUGAGCCGAUAAUUUCUACUUAAGGGGGUUUAUCGGUUGCUAUUGAGCAGGCCCGGCUUGUACCGGGAAGCCUAAGGCAAUUGCGCAACCUCCGCCUUGAACACACGGUUGUUCAAGGGCUGACGUUGGUACCGGCAUUUUGGGGAACCC